rnacentral:rRNA from 1 species
CUGUUCCCAUGCCGAACACAGAAGUUAAGUUCUUCCGCGCCGAUGGUAGUCGGGGUUACCCCCCGCAAGAGUAGGGCGCUGCCACAU